GGCGGUUCUCAAUCAGAGUCAGGUGAUUCUCGUUGUCUCUGAUUGGGAACCAUAUUUAGGUAGCCUGGGUUUCACUGUGUGUUUUGUGGGUGAUUGUUCCUGUCUCUGUGUAGUGUUCACCAGAUAGGCUGUAAUUAGGUUUUCACGUUUCGUUUGUUGUUUUUUGUAUUUAUUUAGUUAUUUCAUGUAUCGCUAUUUUUUUCAUUAAAGAACAUGAGUAACCACCACGCUGCAUUUUGGUCCGACUCUCCUUCAACAGACGAACGCCGUUACAUUCAUGUCUGCCAAUCUGAGCAACAAGCUCGAAAUUACAAUGGCCUCAAAUGUGUCCCUUUAUAAAAGAACGGGAUCAAGGAGGUCAGACUGCAAAAUCCAGACAUGACGGAUUGACGCGAAAUGAAAGUGUUGUAGACGAGACAAAAACAUCAAGACAGGAGAGAGAAAAGUCCAGGAAGGGAAAAUGCAUUCAAGAAAGAAGCAUAUGAAGACAGAGACAGAGUUGUUGAUUUCCAUUGUUACAUGUCAAUAAUCUAUCUAGCCUACAGAUUUGUGUCACCACUAGAAUAGUUAUUUUUAUGUUAUCUUUGUUUAAUGUAAUUAAUCAAGUCAUUAAUAUAACAAUACAAAUGCGUAUUAUAUUGUAAGAAAUGUAAGGUAUUGUUACAUGUUUGCAAUAACAUUGACUAAAUUAGAAGCUCAUUUAUUGUUUGCAGGUAUUUUCACUUGGUAAUGAGUAGUAGGCCUACACUGUAAAUAAUUAUAUAGAAAUUGCUCAAUUCUGUGUAACACCUAGUAACAUUGUAUUUAUGCCGAUGUUACAUGGACUCUGUGGUGUGCCAGUGUGUUUAUUUCUCACUUGGAUGGCGCUUUCAGAAGCUGACGAUUAGAUUGUCAGGAUGGGUAACGUACUUUGCAGGUACACUAUAAUCACAAGUCAGUACCCCUCAAGAUCAAGUUCAUUUUAACUAGAUCAAUCCUGUGUAUAACCUACUAAUUACUUAUGCAGAUAUUACAUAUGCUCUGUGGUGUAGUAGUGCUAGCAACAACGUUGACUGGAGAUAUGUUUUGAACAGAGCACAUUCAUGGUUAAGUAAUUAGAGCCUAUUGAGUAUAGGCUAUAAUCUUAGACACCCAACGCAUCAACAAGGGAUCCCAACUUUUGUCACAGUUGUUAAUGAUCGGAUGCAGCUGAGAAGAAGCAAAUCACUAAGUUGGUGAAUUUAGUGGAAACCUGCCAACUUGUAACAAGCAUGGUAACAAGCAUUCGUUGUUAGACUUCUGUAAUUACAGACCGCAAUUACUACCAGGUACAUGUUGUUAUUAUACUGUACCUAUGAGUUGUUACAGUUAACUACAAUACUUGUUAGUGAAAGGACACAUGUAAUUACACUGUAAUAAGGACCCCUUAAAUGUAAGUGUAACCAUAUAUAUAUAUAUAUAUACACAGUAUAUUAUGGUGUGUAUAAACAUUAUGGACAGUAUAUGUACAUUAGUAGUUAUAUAGGAUGAGCCUUGACUAGAAUACAGUAGACACUGUACAUAUGAACUGGGUAAAACAGUUUGUAAACAUUAUUAAAUGUUGACAAAUUGUCAGCUGAAUGUUCUGUGAAUUGCUGUGUAGUAAGUAACAUAUGUUGCUACC
ensembl:lncRNA